rnacentral:misc_RNA from 1 species
CUCUCUCCCGUCUCGACCAGCUUCGAGUCCUCAGUCUUCAGAACAACUCUCUCUCCGGUCCCUUUCCCGAUCUCUCCCCUCUCCUUAACUUGAAAUCCCUCUUUUUGGGCCACAAUUCCUUCUCAGGAUCUUUUCCUCCUUCUAUUUUGUUGCUUCAUAGGCUCCAUGUUCUUGAUCUUUCUUAUAAUAAUCUCACCGGUCACAUUCCGGUUCAGUUGUCUGCUCUCGACCGGCUCAGCUCGCUUCGUCUAGAGUGGAACCGAUUCUAUGGUUCGCUACCGCCAUUGAACCAGUCUUUUCUUAUUUUUUUCAAUGUUUCCGUGAAUAAUCUCACGGGGCCAAUUCCUGUUACGCCUACUCUUUCCAAGUUUCAUACGUCGUCGUUUUCCCUUAACCCGGAUCUCUGCGGUGAGAUCAUCAACAAGGAGUGUACCAGGGUGCGCUCUCCCUUUUUUGAUUGGCCAUCAUCGUCCAAUGCCACCUCGCCAAUGGCACCGCUAGACCAAAGUGCGCAGGCGGAAGGCGGAGCUGGUGUAGUAGUUUUGUCUCCGUCGUCACCGCAGAAGCACAAGAGAACUACUGCUUUUCUGAGUUUCGCUGUUGGUGUAUCGGUAUUAAUCGUAUCUCUUUUAUGCAUCUUUUUUGCUUUGGUCAACAAACAGAGCAAACAAACAAAUUCGAAGGAGAAACAGCCGGCGGCAGCAGCAUCUGCAACCGAGGCUGCGAAUUCGAUUCAUACAAACUCGACAGCUGAUGAUCAAGCUAUUAAAGAAUAUGGGGAAGUUGUAGUAUAUUCGAAAACGAAGGAAAUUGAAGUACAGCAAGUGAGAAGAGCGGAGAAGAGUGGUGGUUUGGUGUUUUGUGGAGGGCAGACACAGAUGUACACAUUGGAGCAGCUAAUGAGAGCAUCAGCGGAGUUGCUGGGGAGAGGAACGAUAGGGACUACGUAUAAGGCUGUGCUCGAUAAUCAGCUGAUAGUGACGGUGAAGAGGCUUGAUGCGAGUAAGAGUGCCAUUACGAGUAGCGAUGCCUUCGAAGGGCUUAUGGAAGCUGUGGGUGGGCUUCGCCACCCGAACUUGGUGCCGAUCAUGGCAUACUUCCAGGCCAAGGGAGAGAGGCUUGUUAUAUAUGAUUAUCAACCCAAUGGCAGCCUUUUCAAUCUCAUUCACGGUUCAAGAUCAACAAGAGCGAAGCCUCUUCACUGGACAUCAUGUUUAAAGAUAGCUGAAGAUGUGGCCCAGGGUCUUGCCUAUAUCCACCAAUCAUCAAAGCUCGUUCAUGGCAACCUGAAAUCUUCCAACAUUCUGCUCGGAGCUGAUUUUGAGGCCUGCAUCACAGACUAUUGCCUUGCUGCCCUUGCAGACACUUCUACUGAAGAUCCUGAUUCCAUAGCAUGUAAAGCACCUGAGACCCGCAAAUCUAACCAUCGAGCCACUGCCAAAUCUGAUGUGUAUGCAUUUGGUGUCCUAUUAUUCGAGCUUUUGACUGGUAAACAUCCAUCACACCAUCCAUUCCUUGCACCCACUGAUAUGUUGGACUGGGUCAGAGCAGUGAGGGAAGAUAAUUGUGUGGAAGAUAACCAGCUAGGAAUGCUUACAGAAGUCGCCAGUGUUUGUAGCUUGAUAUCUCCAGAACAAAGACCAGCAAUGUGGCAAGUGUUGAAGAUGAUACAUGAAAUAAAGGAAAGUGUCAUGGUAGAGGAGAAUGCACCUCCUGGAUAUUCGUAGUUCUUUUCUUUCUACAUGUACAGGCAUGGAUGAAUAGAAGAAACCACAAACUCAUGCAAUCCAAACCAUAGCUUUGGCAGAUUGGCAUUUGUCUAGAGAAGAAUUACAACAGAGCCACUCCGGCUGUGAUAAAAAAAUUUAUAUGAUUUAAUGGAGCUUGAGGAAGCUAUAGGAACGCCAUUGGAUGUGAUGCUUAUGUGGCAGAUAAACCAUGAUUUUGUAAAGAUUCUAUAGUUCUUUUCUGUGGAGUGUUAUCAUUUUGAAGCUUGCUUCUUCCUUGGUUACACCACGUUUGAUACUGCUUGCCAAGUGGACUUUUGAUGGUUAAGGAAUUAAAGCAGAAUUGGCAAGCACUUUCCAUUAGAAACAAUAAGUUCGUCCUUUGCUCCAGAAUAGAAACAAAAAUGGAGCUAGACUUUUUUACUGUUAGCAUCAUGGUUUUAAACCACGGUCGCGGGUAAUGAACUGCGCAAAUUUUUUUAAAAAUUUUGUAAAGUUCAUAAAGUGAGUAAAUAUUAAUAGAAACAAAUAAAAUUAAGAUAUACAACAAUAUAAUAAGCAUAAAUAUAUUAAUUAAAGACAUUAAAAUAAUCAUUCUUAUUUAUCAUUAGCAUUAAUAAAUUGAUAGCUAAAAUAAUUAUGUAAAAUGUUAAUAACUAACUUUAUUAUCACCAAAAGGAAUGUCUAGGAGGAUCUUGACCUAACGGUUGGUGAGGUCUUCGAGAAGCAUCAUGGCUACUACAUACUGUGCACCAGCUCUCCUUCUAAAAGCAUCUUCAUCAAAUUGUCUCAUACUUUCUCUCCUCGCCAAUUCUAACUCAAAAUCUUCAGCAUCAUAAUCACCAUCGUCAUUUGAUUCAACUCGGUUUAGUCUAAUAAGUUCUAAUUCUCUUGUUCUUUUUACUUUAUCUUUUUUGGCAACUUCAUACUCCUUCAAGAUGGUAGCCAUAUCUUUCUUCACUUGAGUAGAAACUUUUCUUAGCCAAAUGCUGUUUCAAAUGUGUUAUUUCUCCAGUAAUUUUUUUUUUCACAAAAAUUACAAGUCAUUUCCCCUUUUUUUUCUGUUGGAGGUGGCAAACUUCCAUCAAAUGUCCUCGCUUAGCUCACUAGAAGAACCUCCUCUCAGCAUUUUCAAACUCUACGGAACGGAUGACUAGCUGGCUUUUAUAAGUAUGCUCUAGAGAAUUAAAGGAUUCAAGCCUUGGGUUGUGAUAUAAUGCAGAAAAUUUAAGGGAAAAUUGAUAUUUUGAGAGCAAGGAGAUGAGCUUGGGACGUUUAGAGACUUAGAGAGAAACUAUGAAAGACUAAAGAAGAUAGGACUUGAGGGGAGAGGCCAAAAUUG